rnacentral:rRNA from 1 species
AAACCUAAAGGCGUAAUGAAAGUAAAGAUUUUUCUUUUUUUCGUAAAAAGUGAAAAUCCAGGGAGGAUAGGUGACCUCUAUGUCUAUAGUAUAUAGUAAAAUGUAAGUUGCCUCGCACUCCCAGGGCAUCUCAUUCUCAUUGCGAGAAGAGGUGCACCAUAAGCGUACACGCUGGGACCCGAAAGAUGGUGAACUAUGCCUGGUCAGGACGAAGUCAGGGGAAACCCUGAUGGAGGUCCGUAGCGAUUCUGACGUGCAAAUCGAUCGUCGGAACUGGGUAUAGGGGCGAAAGACUAAUCGAACCAUCUAGUAGCUGGUUCCCUCCGAAGUUUCCCUCAGGAUAGCUGGUGCUCAGUUAAUAUAGACGAGUCUCAUCCGGUAAAGCGAAUGAUUAGAGGCAUUGGGAUCGAAACGAUCUCAACCUAUUCUCAAACUUUAAAUGGGUGAGAUCUCCGGCUUGCUUGAAUAAAUAAUAAUUUCAUUUUGAAGCUGUGAGAUAUACAAUAUAUAUUGGAUCAGAGUACCAAGUGGGCCAUUUUUGGUAAGCAGAACUGGUGCUGUGGGAUGAACCAAACGUUGAGUUAAAGCGCCUAAAUCGACGCUUAUGGGAUACCAUGAAAGGCGUUGGUAACUUAAGACAGCAGGACGGUGGCCAUGGAAGUCGGAAUCCGCUAAG